AAAACUAGAACAUGUCUAUUUAUAGCUAUAAAUCGUUAAAAUGAAGACAAUACAAUAAAAAUCAUGACAUUACGAUUAAUUCUGAUAAAUAGGUAAAGUUUAAUGAAUAAGGCUUGAUUCGUACUGGUGUGGAGUUAGAGUAUCAACACAGGAACCACGAGAACAGACGGUGUGCAUGCCAAGUACGAGAAUGAGACUUAUGACAGAAGCGAUACCAGUAAAGUUUACAAGAGAUUAUCUCAAGAAGCCAAAUUGAAGAUUCAGUAAAAAGGGUAUGUUAUGGACAGACAACUACUAUAUGUGACUGGAUAGUGUAUCUCAUGUAUUCUUCUAAGCCAUAGUUUGAGCAUGACGUGACAGGAAAUAAGAAUCGUGUUUUAUUUGACGACAAAUGAUAAGAUAUUUGUUAAUAUAUCUUAUCCACAGGACCACAGUUAGUUUGUUAUUCCAUGCUAAGAGAUGAAUAAUUUCGGAUUAUAUAUGACAUAAGACACAGUAUCAUUGAUAUUUAGAUUGAAGAAAUAAAUUUAGGGCUAUGCUGAAGACUGGACAAAAUACAUCAAGUUAGAAGAUACAUGUAUAUCAGAUAAAUAAAUUAUGCAAACAUU